UUCAAAGUCACACAUACGGAAACGUGCCAAGACUCUUGGAGUCUCUGCCUCUUCUCGUGCUCCUUCUCUCUGUACGUUUUACACUCACAUUCGCUUUGCAUUCCACUUUCCAUAACGCAAAUCCUUCGUGUUAUAUUUUCCCCUCGCUCUGUUGCAAGAUCCUCGCAGCAUCAGCAUCAGCAUCAUGAUCGUGCCGAAACGCGAAUUGAUUAACGACGACGACGAUAAAGAUAACGACGCCGUUAACGACGACGACGCUGAUGAUCACCAAACGCCGAAAGGCCGGCGAGGUAUUCGUUCACGGUACCUCUCCGUCAAGAACAUGAUUCACGAUGAAAGGGAAGAAAUUGCCAGGGCUGACUCUCACAAGUUUAAUUUGAUCUUUAAUGAAAUGGAAACCUUACAUCAGCUAGUUACAAAGCCAAGAGAACAAGUAGCCGAUGCAAAGGCUCUUUUGGACAUCACCCAAUCUUUGGUAAUGUCUGUGAAAAAUAUUGCCAUUGGUGGACUAACUCCUUCAGACUUUGUUACCCACAUUCUUAAAAAAUUCGGAGGACAAGCUGGACCAAGUAAUAGCACUGAAGAUUUCAGCAGAAACUCAGUAGCUUGGAAGGAUAUUGGAGUUGCAGUGUCACGUGUUUUUAGAGCGGGUUGUGGGUGUUAUACAAUGAUUGGCGCCAUGGAUGCUAAAAUAAAACAGAGGAAGGUUUAUAAUCGUCGCAAGCGUGUGAGACCCACUGAAUUGGCCCGGCCUAAAGAGCUUGGUGGUGGUUCGGGAGAAGAGAGAACUGAGACUGAUAAACAUAUGAUAACCAUGUUUAACAUCUUAAGGAUUAAUAAAUUUGUGAAGCUUGAAAAUCUGAUUUUGAAUCGGAACUCAUUCGCACAAACGGUGGAGAAUUUAUUUGCUUUAUCCUUUUUAGUCAGAGAUGGGCGGGCUGAAAUAAAAGUGAACGAGGCUGGAUGGCUAAUAGUUUCGCCAAGGAAUGCUCCUGCUGCUAAUUCAGUAGUUUCCAGGGAUGUUGCUUUUAGCCACUUUGUAUUCAGAUUUGACUUCAAUGAUUGGAAGCUGAUGGUUUGCUCUGUUGGUGUUGGUGAGGAGCUGAUGCCUCAUAGGGAUAGCCAAUUACAGAGUCAGACUGAAGUAUCUGCAGAAUCUAGUGAAAAAAAGAAAAAGAAAGAAAAGAAGCCCAGAACAACAAAAGUUCAGUGAUUUGGUUCCAAGUAGCAUAGAUAGUAGUAAACAGAAAUUAGUCACCAGGAAGUGAUGCAUUUGUUGAAGACACUCCCGUGUUGUCGUACUCGUAGUGAUCAAAGAGCUUAUGUACAGUGAUUUUGCAUAUUGUUAAGAAUUUUUGUUUUGCUCAUUCUAUGCGUAGGAAUAUACAAGCUCAUUAUAUUUGAUUCAGUAGCAAAUUGGGUCCAGAAAUUGAUGUGGUGUGCGUUGUGCGCUGCCUUGAAUUUACUAACAUUAAGAAUUCGAAAUAGAUGCUACUAAUCAAAACAUGAAAGCAAUGUCAAGGAAUCCGUGCAGACAGGGGCGGACCUGGUGACAGACGCCAACUACCAACAAAAAAGAAGGUAAAAUUCAUCUAAAAAUUAAUUAAUUAUAUAUCAUUGAUCUUUAUACAAAAUAUUUAUAAUUAAUUUAAUGUUUCAAUACGUUAAUUUCAUUAAUAAUCUAUCAAAUCAAGACAAGUUUUUCUUAUAUGUCAUAAAAAUAAUUAAUAAUUUAUACUCAUUUUUCAACAAU